ensembl:lncRNA
UUAUGGCACAACAGAUACAUUUUGGAACAGUUAUUAAACGACACAUUUUAAGGACUCUUAAUAUUAUAAAAAUGCUUAAUUGUUGUAGGCUCAUUUGGAGCAUAGCCUACCUCAGGUAAAUCAUUACGACAAUCACAAUCUUUAAAUUAUUUUGCAUAUUAACAAUAGUAAUAAAAACAACAAUACACUAAGCAUAAUGUCAUUCUACGCUAAAACAUACCUUUUUGAAAAUCGUUUAUGUUUCAGUGACAACGUACUAAUAUUUUCAGAGACGCUUUAACGCGAAACAGGAAACUCAUGAAUAUUCAUGUAAGCUCCGCCCAGCGUCACCGAAAAUCUCAGACACCGAAUAUUUCAGAACACCGGAUCGCGUGGGUUGCCGCAAUCAGGAGAACAUUUUUUACUUUACAAAACACCCCUGCAUCAGCGAGAGUGUGUUCGCUGCAUUUUCAGUCAGGACAACCAUCAUUUGAAAUGCUGGACACUCAUCCUGACUGGGCACCAACUUUUGUAAAAGUUGUACAAAGCAAGAGAUGUUGUGUAUUGUAUAUUCCUUGAUGACUUGUAGGAUAGUUGAUAAAUGAUGUUGAAUUUGUGGUUCAUGUUAGCAGAUGAUAAAGCCAGGCCACAUUGCAUGAAUCAAAUCAAUUAUUUAUUUUGUUUUCAAUGAACAAUUUGCUUUGAUAUUGUGUACAUCUUUUACAUUCCUUUUUAAAAUGUUUGUGACUCAAGUUUUUAUAUAACUGCUUAAUAAAUACAUUAAGUGACUUAUAUGUUUCUGUACUGAUUGUAUCCACAGAGACCCUUUAAAGGGAUAGUUCACUUUAAAAUGUAAAUUCUGUCAUUUACUCACCCUCAAGUUAUUUUAAACCUGUGUGAAUUUCUUUCUUCUGCUGAACACAAAGGAAGAUAUUUUGAAGAAUGUCAGUAACCAAACAGUUAACUGGAACCACUGACUUCCAUAGUAGGAAAAAAAAUUAUAUGUAAGUCAGUGGUUCCAGUUAACUGUUUGGUUACUGACAUUCUUCAAAAUAUCUUCCUUUGUGUUCAGCAGAAGAAAG